rnacentral:misc_RNA from 1 species
AACGCACAUUGCGCCCGCCAGCAUUCUGGCGGGCAUGCCUGUUCGAGCGUCAUUUCAACCCUCAGGCCCUGCCUGGUGUUGGAGGACUGCGCAUGCAGCCUCCCAAAGACAGCGGCGGCGGCGCCCCAAAACCGAACGCAGUAGUUACUUCUCGUUCUGGGUCUGGGUCGUUGUCCUGCCGGAAAACCCCCCUUCUUUUACAUGGUUGACCUCGAAUCAGGUAGGAAUACCCGCUGAACUUAA